AUUUUUCUUGGAAUCUUCAGAGUAUUUGCAGUUCUGCACAACACAACAUUGAAUCUUCGAAUUUGUCUACAUAAUUAUACAAGCUUCAAUUUUCGUUGUCAAUGGUGACAACUUGUGAAGUGCCUUAAUUUGCAUUCAGAAAGCUAUUUCUUGAUUUUCAUUUGAAGGCACACAUACUGUAAGCUAUAUCUCCCUUCCUCUACAUAAUCCAGUUAUGUAACGGCCAGAGUAUUGAUUCCCUCCCUCCCUCGACAUAUUCUGGUUAUGUUAUUUGCUAAGCUUAAUUUGCAUUUGAAGGCAUAUCCCUCCCUCUCUCUACAUAUUCCAGUUUAUGUUAGUUACUAAGUAUUGAUUUGCAAUUGAAGCCACAUGUGC
rnacentral:misc_RNA from 1 species